rnacentral:rRNA from 1 species
UUGCCAGCGAUCGUCGGGGACUCUAGAGGAUACCUGCCCCGGUUAACGGGGAGGAAGGUGGGGAUGACGUCAAGUCCUCAUGGCCUUAUGCCCAGGGCUACACACGUGCUACAAUGGGCGGUACAAAGGGUAGCGAUGCCGCGAGAUGAAGCCAAUCCCAAAAAGCCGUCCACAGUUCGGAUUGGAGUCUGCAACUCGACUCCAUGAAGCCGGAAUCGCUAGUAAUCGUGGAUCAGCAUGCCACGGUGAAUACGUUCCCGGGCCUU